AACUGGCACAGACGCUGAGUUGGCUAAGGAGGACGAGAUACCGCAGCAACGCGUCAUCACCACGUCCCCGACCCGACAAGAGGUGAUCGCAGCCGAUGCCCAUCACUCCGGUCGACUGCUAGCGGCACGCAGCCGGUCGACCACAUUCGCCGGACGAGAGAGCCGGCACCAGAAUUGAAAAGCCAGGGCCCCGGUUACCCGCCGGGGCCCUGGACUCU
rnacentral:sRNA from 1 species